AUUGAACGCUGGCGGCAGGCCUAACACAUGCAAGUCGAGCGGAUGAAGGGAGCUUGCUCCUGGAUUCAGCGGCGGACGGGUGAGUAAUGCCUAGGAAUCUGCCUGGUAGUGGGGAUAACGUCCGGAAACGGGCGCUAAUACCGCAUACGUCCUGAGGGAGAAAGUGGGGGAUCUUCGGACCUCACGCUAUCAGAUGAGCCUAGGUCGGAUUAGCUAGUUGGUGGGGUAAAGGCCUACCAAGGCGACGAUCCGUAACUGGUCUGAGAGGAUGAUCAGUCACACUGGAACUGAGACACGGUCCAGACUCCUACGGGAGGCAGCAGUGGGGAGUAUUGGACAAUGGGCGAAAGCCUGAUCCAGCCAUGCCGCGUGUGUGAAGAAGGUCUUCGGAUUGUAAAGCACUUUAAGUUGGGAGGAAGGGCAGUAAGUUAAUACCUUGCUGUUUUGACGUUACCAACAGAAUAAGCACCGGCUAACUUCGUG
rnacentral:rRNA from 1 species